GGGUCAGUAGGUUGGUCAUGCCACUGGUAUGUACUGGUCUCACUGAUUCCUCCUUCCUGAUGAACUGUAAUGCCAUUAAUUUGGUGUUGUGGGGAAUCAGGACUGUUACUUUGAAAAAAUUAGAGUGUUUAAAGCAGGCUAACGUCUGAAUACAUUAGCAUGGAAUAAUGAAAUAGGACGGAUUGAUUCUAUUUCGUUGGUUUCUAGGAUCACCGUA
rnacentral:rRNA from 1 species